GCAACUGUCAAAAGUUAAUCUACAAUUAUAAGACGUUGGAACGAAAGCAGUUGCAACCUUUAUCGGUACAAAAAUGUAUGGUGUUUGUACGUGCUUUCGUUGGGGACUUGGGUCGAAUUUUUGCUAACACAUCUCCCGAAGAAGAAUAAGAAACAAUGACCUCCCGUUUACUUUCAUGGUGGUAACAAUGUCCCGGCCCACAAUAUACGCAACAGCGAAAAAAGAGAUCCUGACUAGUACUUCUCAUAGCGAAGCGCUAAUCAUGUCUAUCGAUACGACUCCGCGUGAACUGUACAAUUAUAAAACAUUAUGACAACGUUUGUUGACUGAAAAACGCCUUUG